CAAUGCCCAGAAGCCUGUUCUCCAGGAAUCAUGGGGGUGCGCCCGGUCCGCAGCCUGCUAACCAACUGAUUCCUGAGGAGUGAGAGACCCAGGGACAUCAGGUGCUUUCCAAGAAGCAAGGACAAACCAGUCUUAGAGCGGAACUCGGAGCCUGAGUGGAAGGGAAGGCGGCUUUUCUGUAGCUGAAUGGCGGCAACAGCGCAAGGCGUGGCCCGGGGUCUUUCAGGAGCUGUGAAGACCACAGAGGGCAAGCCUGUCUCCCUCAAGCUGCAUGUGCUUCCCCAGACCUAGUGCAGGAAAUUGACAUCACAAUACAUAUAUUAUUCCCUACUUUUCUGGAGCCUGGGAAUCCGGUCUGUCACAGGACCACGCCUCUUCCAAAAGUGCUGGGGGAGCAUCUUCCUGCCUCCACCCAAUGCUCCUUGACAUUCCUUGACCCUCUGUCACCCCCCCAUCUCAGUCUUUGUUAUUAUGCCUUGGGUAGAAGGUCCAUCCUCAUCCAGAACGGUGAGCUCAGGCAUCAGAAUCAGACAACUAAUCAACCUUGAGGAGGGGACGUUGCAAUCGGCGACAUUGCUCUGAGGCAUACAAGGAGGACCCCAUGUGUGUUUCCUAGGCAUGCUGAGCUGGUGAGAGAAGAGACUCAGGGAAGUAAGAUGGGACCCAAAGGACAGGAAGCAGCGUGAACCGGCACAUGUGGAGGCCGUGGGGGAAAGACCAUCGGAAGACAGGUCCGUCACAGCGAGGUGCGACUGAGCAGUUGACAUCACGAUGGAGGACGCAGGUGGCAGAGGACAGCUACUUCCAACAGCAGACAGUAAACAGAGAGGGAACACCAGUGCUUGGCACACACGGCUGCUAUCCUAGAGCCUCCUCUCUGGGUGAGACAGGCAAUACCUGCAAACAAGAUGCUUAGCCAAAG